AGGAAGAAGGAGAUGUGCAUGGACUGCUAAAAUAUACAGACUCGAGACAGGGAAUUGCUGUAGUUAUAUUCCGUCAAAUGUGCUGACAUAAGGAUGCUGGAUUAACUAAAUAAACAAAUUAGACUCCAGUCAAAGGCUUCCCUCUUCUCUGAAAAAAAAAAAAAAGUGCAUUUAUCUCUGAAAUUAAUUUUUUUAAAACUUAUGCAGUUUUUUUUGUUCCUCAAACAGCUUUAAUCAGGACCUAACAGACAACCACUUUUCUAACUGUGGGAAAGUUAAGGGAAGUAUGUGAAGAAUGUGCCUAUAGUUCUCGAGGAGUAAAAGUACUAAGUGCACACAGGAUUACAGCAUUAUUUUUCAGGCUCAGGAGCUUACAAAGACCAAAAAAGACAGGCAAUACAGAAUACUGGCUUGAAGACUCCUCUGACUAGAGACUGAACUCACUGAAAGCUACAGACAGAAAAUCAAGAAACAGAAACUAUCAGAAAGACCUUGGAAUAUAAAUGAAAGCCAAAAUAGAAAGAUACAUCUCAAAUGUACAUGCUCCCAAUCUCCAAACAGUAUUGACUGACACCAAGUUUCAGAGUGUGAGCUUCUCAGACCAGAACCAGAGAGCCAUGCAGUGACAGCAACCAUGAUGUGACCAAAAGCAGAAAAGGGGUGAG
rnacentral:lncRNA from 1 species